rnacentral:rRNA from 1 species
GUGGGGAAUCUUAGACAAUGGGGGAAACCCUGAUCUAGCCAUGCCGCGUGAGCGAUGAAGGCCUUAGGGUUGUAAAGCUCUUUCAGCUGGGAAGAUAAUGACUGUACCAGCAGAAGAAGCCCCGGCUAACUCCGUGCCAGCAGCCGCGGUAAUACGGAGGGGGCUAGCGUUGUUCGGAAUUACUGGGCGUAAAGCGCACGUAGGCGGACCGGAAAGUCAGAGGUGAAAUCCCAGGGCUCAACCUUGGAACUGCCUUUGAAACUCCUGGUCUUGAGGUCGAGAUAGGUGAGUGGAAUUCCGAGUGUAGAGGUGAAAUUCGUAGAUAUUCGGAGGAACACCAGUGGCGAAGGCGGCUCACUGGCUCGAUACUGACGCUGAGGUGCGAAAGCGUGGGGAGCAAACAGGAUUAGAUACCCUUGUAGUCC